ensembl:lncRNA
AACAGAGGAUGAGAUGGCUGGAUGGCAUCACUGACUCGAUGGACGUGAGUCUGUGUGAACUCUGGGAGUUGGUGAUGGACACUCUAAGUGCGAAAAUAAAUGAUUCCUGCAGGACAUAAUGAAGAUUGCACAUGGUGGUAACUAAGACCCAAGGUUGCUGAAUAAUUAAAUUUAAAAAGGCAUAUAUAAUGAUAAAAGAUCAAUACAAAAGAAGGAUUUUACGCUUGCCAGCAAGAAUGAAAACUGACAUUUCCCUGCCCUUGUGGCCACUACUGAGUUGUCAACAUAUAUGCAACUAAUAUAGGAGCACCCAAAUACAUGAAACAAAUACUAACAGACAGAAAGGGAGAAUUGACAAGAAUAACAAUUAUAGUAGGAGAAAAUAGAAUUGCCAUAAAACCCAGCAAACCCCCUGCUGGGCAUGCACACUGAGGAAAGCAGAAUUGAAAGAGACACGUGUACCCCAAUGUUCAUCGCAGCACUGUUUAUAAUAGCCAGGACAUGGAAGCAACCUAGAUGUCCAGUACUCUUGCCUGGAAAAUCCCAUGGAUGGAGGAGCCUGGUGGGCUGCUCUAAGGGGUCCACAGGGUCAGACACGAUUGAAGGAUAUCAAAUCAGCCAAUCCUAAAGGAAAUUGAUCCUAAACAUUCAUUAGAAGUACUGACACUGAAGCUGAAGCUCCAAUACUUUGGCCACCUGAUGUGAAGACCUGACUCAUUGGAAAAGACCCUAUGCUGGGAAAGAUUGAAGACAGAAGGAGAAGGGGGUGACAGAGGAUGAUAUGGAUGGAUGGCAUCACUGACUCAAUGGACAUGGACGUGUGCAAACUCCAAGAGAUGGUGAGAGAUGGAGAAGCCUGGCGUGCGGCAGUCCAUGGGGUCGCAAACAGUCAGACACAACCUGGCGGCUGAACAGAGUAGAACAACAGAUUGAACAAAAAUCAGCAUGAAUCACUGUAACUUUGUCUUCUCAUUUACUACCAUGAGCAAAGCGCAGACCAACAGGCAAAUGUCUUCCAGCUCUAUCUUUGGGCUAAGUGGGAUCACUCUUUAUUCUCAUGGUCCCUGCAGGAUAAAGAAAAAUUGAAUAUCGCAGCACUGUUUACAAUAACCAGGACAUGGAAGCAACCUGGAUGUCCAUCGGCAGACAAAUGGAUAAGAAAGCUGUGGUAAAUAUACACAAUGGAAUAUUACUCAGCCAUUAAAAAGAAUGCAUUUGAGUCAGUUCUAAUGAGGUGGAUGAAACUGGAGCCUAUUAUACAAAGUGAAGUAAGUCAGAAAGAAAAACACCAAUACAGUUAUACCAAUGCAUAUAUAUGGAAUUUAGAAAGAUGGUAAAGAUAACCCUAUAUGAGAGACAGCAAAAGAGACACAGAUGUCAAGAACAGUCUUUUGGACUCUGUGGGAGAAGGCGAGGGUGAGAUGAUUUGUGAGGAUAGUGUUGAAACGUGUAUAUUAUCAUAUAUGAAGC